UUAAGUCCCGCAACGAGCGCAACCCUCGACCUUAGUUGCCAGCAUUCAGUUGGGCACUCUAAGGUGACUGCCGGCUAAAAGUCGGAGGAAGUGGGGAUGACGUCAAAUCAUCAUGCCCCUUAUGACCUGGGCUACACACGUGCUACAAUGGGCGGUACAAAGGGUCGCGAACCCGCGAGGGGGAGCCAAUCCCAAAAAGCCGCUCUCAGUUCGGAUUGCAGGCUGCAACUCGCCUGCAUGAAGCCGGAAUCGCUAGUAAUCGCGGAUCAGCAUGCCGCGGUGAAUACGUUCCCGGGCCUU
rnacentral:rRNA from 1 species